CCUACGGGCGGCAGCAGUGAGGAAUAUUGGUCAAUGGGCGCAAGCCUGAACCAGCCAAGUCGCGUGAGGGAUGACGGUCCUAUGGAUUGUAAACCUCUUUUGUCGGGGAGCAAGGCCCGCCACGUGUGGCGGGAAGGAGAGUACCCGAAGAAAAAGCAUCGGCUAACUCCGUGCCAGCAGCCGCGGUAAUACGGAGGAUGCGAGCGUUACCCGGAUUUAUUGGGUUUAAAGGGUGCGUAGGCGGAAGGUUAAGUCAGCGGUAAAAUGUCGGUGCUCAACACCGGCCUGCCGUUGAAACUGGUCUUCUUGAGUGAGCGAGAAGUAUGCGGAAUGCGUGGUGUAGCGGUGAAAUGCAUAGAUAUCACGAAGAACUCCGAUUGCGAAGGCAGCAUACCGGCGCUCAACUGACGCUGAGGCACGAAAGCGUGGGGAUCGAACAGGAUUAGAUACCCUAGUAGUC
rnacentral:rRNA from 1 species